ACAGUCAGACCACCCUGAAGGCACCCCAUCUCUUCUGAUCUUGGAAGCCAAGCAGGGUUGGGCCUGGUUAGAACUUGGAUGGGAGAAGCAAAGCACAGGACAUAUCAUCCUCCUAAGAAAUAUCAGGAUCUUUA
ensembl:rRNA 5S_rRNA 5S ribosomal RNA